rnacentral:pre_miRNA from 1 species
AGCUUUUUGAAUCCGUGCUGAGAUUUCAUCAAACACCAACCCAACAGGGCUGACCCGACUUCCAAGAUAAGUGAAGUA